GCGACGCGCCGAUUAGCGGAGCGCGGUUAGGGGCGGGCGCAUGGUGGCUAUUGAUUGGUCCCGCAGGGAGGGGAGAUCCGGUUGUGGUAGUUUGAGCGUUCACCGCUAGAGCGCUACGGUCGUUCUGUCAGUUUGAGCAUAGCGUCGAUAGCGACCGCAACGGUUCGCGUUUGUUGUUGUUGGACCUAACCUCAAUGUGAUGCGGCGGAGGAGGUAGUGCCUAGGAUCUGAGGAUGUCUGCUUACGCCCAGUUCGGCUACGGCUACGGUUCACCGGCGUCCCAGCUGUUAGUCUCGGGUCAGCCGGCGAGCUCCGUCUCUCCGCCAGUGGGGGCGGGUGCCGGAGCCACCGGGGGCGGUAGCGUGUCCACGGGGGCGGUGUCUCCCUCGGGCUCUGCCUCCGGGGGUGGCUCCUGCUGCGAGAAUGGCCGCCCCAUCAUGACGGACCCUGUGUCCGGACAGACGGUCUGUUCCUGUCAGUACGACUCUGCCCGCCUCGCACUCAGUUCCUACCCCAGGGCCGCUGUAUACGGCGCUCCUUACCCCUCCACGGACCAGAACCCGUACCCCAGCAUCGACAGUUCCGCCUUCUACUCACCCCUGAGUAACCCGUACGGUCUGAAGGAAGGAGGUACGACGGAUAUGUCUGCAUGGACCAGUGCUGGACUACAACCCUCCACGGGCUACUACCCAUACGACCCCACGCUAGCGGCCUACGGGUACGGGGCGAGCUACGACCUGGCGGCGCGGCGGAAGAAUGCGACGCGAGAAUCGACGGCGACACUGAAGGCGUGGCUGAACGAGCACAAGAAGAACCCUUACCCGACCAAAGGCGAGAAGAUCAUGUUGGCGAUCAUCACCAAGAUGACGCUGACGCAGGUGUCGACGUGGUUCGCCAACGCGCGACGGAGACUGAAGAAGGAGAACAAGAUGACGUGGGAGCCGAAGAACAAGACGGACGAUGAUGACGACGCCAUCAUCUCAGACUGUGAUGACAAGAGCAAAGAUGACCUGAUGAUGGACGAUGAUAAGAUGAAGGACCAUCGGAUGGGGAAAGACAUGCUACACGUCAAGGCGGAGCACCAUCUCAAGGACCUGGACGACUCUGACGACCUCGACGACGACGAGAGGAAGUCCUACCACCACGGGGGUCACGGCUAUCACCCGCACCAUCUCAUGAUGAAGGGAGAGAUGCACAAGGACGACUGCGGAGUCCCUCUACCCGCGACCAAGCCGAAGAUCUGGAGUCUAGCGGACACGGCGGCGUGUAAGACUCCGCCUCCGCCCUCGUCGCAGCCGUGGUGCGGGGCCGGUGGCUCGGGUAUGGGCCCGAUCAAUGGGUUCGCCCUGCCCUCGGCCUCGGCGCCGUACUCCAGGUACAGCGGGUUCUUCAACGGUGGCCCCGUGGGUUCCUCAGGGUUCCCGGAGGUCCAGACGGACACGCCGCCUCAAACACCGCCCAACAUGAAACUCCCUAACGUCGCCGGGAAUAUUAUCCCUGCUCCAGGAAGUUGCUUCGGGAGCGGAAACCCCGCGCACGCCCAAGGGUACCAGCAGCCCCAGGGGUUCGGGGGGUACCCUGCCCCCAGGCACCCCCAGGAUAAGGAGAGACACGAGUACCUUCCGCCGCAGCACCAUCCGCCGCCGCAAGCCGCACCCGUCCCACCACCCGAGGAGACCGCCUUCAAACCCUUCUAUAAAAAUUCCGGGAGUAUGAGCGGCGGCGGGUUCGUGUCCCCGGUCUAGGAGCUGCCCCACGGGCCUUCGCCCAUCGCGGUACCUCUGACUUCGCCCGUCCCUCCCCCAGGGGAGAGGACGAUUGCUGGGACGACCCGUAGACAGCAGACCUCAUCGUUGACGACAUCGUCUGCAUCGUUUUUGUUCUAGUCUCACGACCACUAUCUCAGCUCGUAUACGAUCACAGUCACUUCUAGAUUCGAACCCGCAACCCUCCACACCACAGCUACAGCCUCAUAUGCACCAGCGAUCUCAGAUAUUCCCCAUCGGUUUUGUUCACAAUAUAUGUUUUGUAAUGUUGAUGCCUCGUUGACAGUUUGGAAAGACUGUAUUUAGUUCAAAUAUGCUUACGAAAUGUGAUAACCGAAUAUUUGGCAAACGAUUUUCUUAUGUGCAAUAGGGUUGGAACGUCCACAAAUUAAGUAUUGUUUUAUGAUCAAAUGUUUGUAAGAUUUGCAUUACUUUUGCAACAAACUGCAGUUCUGGAUUACUACCUUUUGAUGCCUUAGACAAAACUUGCUGUUUUGGAGUAUUAAAAACACAUUUUUAAAUAUUUUAUUUUGGAAAACUAAUUGUGAAACACGAAACAAACACAAUGACUGUAGUUUGUUGUCGAAAGCGAGCAAACUCUCCGAUUCCGUUUCAUGCAGUGAGUUUGGUUGUAUGUUACUCGAUUGUUAUCUUUGUAAAUAUCGUGCAAGGGCAAUGUGCAAAUGUAAAAUGUUUAUUGUACAUAGUUAUCUGCGUAUUUAUUAGAUAAAUUUAGGACAAUUUUUAUCAGAACUAGGCACAUUUCCACCGUAUAUUCUCGACUUUAUAUUUUUUAUAUCACAAUUUCUGUAUGUGUCAGCAAUGUUAUGUCGUUUGUUGUACGCCACGAUUUCACUAAAUACGUUUCAGUGUCAUUCUAUAGCAGGAGAGGGUGUUUUGGAGUGUAUUUUAGAGUUUAUUAUGAGCUUUUCGAGUCCAAAUCCCCUGCCUCGGUUACGAAAAUCCCCUGACAUUUGGCUACUUACCUUAACCCCGACCCGGCGACCCUCCCUUCAACUGUUGAAUUUUUAAACAAUGAAUUAUCGGGUGAAUAUGGGGGUUGAAACUAUUAUGGAGUAUUUUGUAUUUAAAUUGAUCUCGGCUAUGUUGAAACACCUGUUUCAUUUUAUGCUUUUUGACACGUAAUAUUCUAUUGGUUAAAAAAAUAUUAUUUGAGUAGUAAAAAAUACGUAGGAUAA